UACGGGGGGGGGCAAGCGUUGUUCGGAAUUACUGGGCGUAAAGCGUGCGCAGGCGGUUUUGUAAGUCUGUCGUGAAAGCCCCCGGGCUCAACCUGGGAAUUGCGAUGGAGACUGCAAGGCUUGAAUCUGGCAGAGGGGGGGUAGAAAUUCCACGUGUAGCAGGUGAAAAUGCGUAGAGAUGUGGAGGAACACCGAUGGCGAAGGCAGCCCCCCUGGGUCAAGAUUGACGCUCAUGCACGAAAGCGUGGGGAGCAAACAGG
rnacentral:rRNA from 1 species